CCAAUAGCGUAUAUUAAAGUUGUUGCAGUUAAAAAGCUCGUAGUUGAAUUUCGGGGUCAGUAGGUUGGUCAUGCCACUGGUAUGUACUGGUCUCACUGAUUCCUCCUUCCUGAUGAGCCGUAAUGCCAUUAAUUUGGUGUUGCGAGGAAUCUGGACUGUUACUUUGAAAAAAUUAGAGUGUUUAAAGCAGGCUAACGCUUGAAUACAUUAGCAUGGAAUAAUGAAAUAGGACGUUCGAUCUUAUUUUGUUGGUUUCUAAGAUUGACGUAAUGAUUAAUAGGGAUAGUUGGGGGCAUUAGUAUUCAAUUGUCAGAGGUGAAAUUCUUGGAUUUAUUGAAGACUAACUACUGCGAAAGCAUUUGCCAAGGAUGUUUUCAUUAAUCAAGAACGAAAGUUAGGGGAUCGAAGACGAUCAGAUACCGUCGUAGUCUUAACCAUAAACUAUGCCGACUAGGGAUCGGAUGAUGUUAAUUUUUUAAUGACUCAUUCGGCACCUUACG
rnacentral:rRNA from 1 species